UACAGAGGGGGCAAGCGUUGUUCGGAAUUACUGGGCGUAAAGGGCGCGUAGGCGGCCUGUUAAGUCGAACGUGAAAUCCCCGGGCUCAACCCGGGAACUGCGUCCGAUACUGGCAGGCUUGAAUCCGGGAGAGGGAUGCGGAAUUCCAGGUGUAGCGGUGAAAUGCGUAGAUAUCAGGAGGAACACCUGUGGUGUAGACAGCUUACUGGACCAUUUCUGACGCUGAGACACGAAAGCGUGGGUAGCAAACAGG
rnacentral:rRNA from 1 species